UCAGAUGGUGAACACAUCCUGGCCUGUGCUCCUCUCUACCAGUGGAGCACGUACAGCGUAUCAGAGAGAGAGCCUGUUGGAACAUGUUUCCUGAAGAAAGGAACAGAAGUUGUUGAAUAUUCUCCUUGCCGAUCUAAAGCCAACUCUCCAGAGGGACAAGGCUUCUGUCGGCUGGAUUCAGUAUUGACUUUGU